rnacentral:rRNA from 1 species
GACGAACGCUGGCGGCGUGCUUAACACAUGCCAGUCGAACGGAAAGGCCCUGCUUUUGUGGGGUGCUCGAGUGGCGAACGGGUGAGUAACACGUGAGUAACCUGCCCUUGACUUUGGGAUAACUUCAGGAAACUGGGGCUAAUACCGGAUAGGAGCUCCUGCUGCAUGGUGGGGGUUGGAAAGUUUCGGCGGUUGGGGAUGGACUCGCGGCUUAUCAGCUUGUUGGUGGGGUAGUGGCUUACCAAGGCUUUGACGGGUAGCCGGCCUGAGAGGGUGACCGGCCACAUGGGAACUGGGAUACGGCCCAGACUCUUACGGGAGGAAGCAGUGGGGAAUAUGGCACAUGGGGCGGAAGCUUGAGGCAGAAACGCCGCGUGCGGGAUGACGGCCUUCGGGUUGUAAACCGCUUUCGCCUGUGACGAGGCGUGAGUGGCGGUAAUGGGUAAAGAAGCACCGGCUAACUACGU